AAGGGUGGGUGAGCCACACAUGCCACAAGCUGCAUACCUCACUAGUGGGAAGCCCCUACCUGUUUAACUACUAGAGGGGAACAAAGCCAGAAAACUGCCAAAACCUUACAUAACAACAUAACAGCAUAUCUUAGCAUAGAAUA